CUCUUCCAACAGCUAGUUCCAGCAGGGAGCAUAUGGGUCCCUCCCUCCUUUCGCCCCCUUCCUCCGAGCUCUUACUUCGCUCCUAGAGCCUUUCCCACCCUUUCCCUUUCCCUUCUUUCCUUCUCUCUCCCUUCACCUGCCGCGAUCCCUCUCCCUCUCCGCUGUCUACCACUAAUCUCCUCCAGUCCACCUUAACUGGAGCUCCGCCUCUGACCCCCGUCCAGCCCUCUGCUGCUGCCCAGCUCCACCCCCUGCACGCCACCGCCCUGCCCGCCCAUUGGCCUGAACACCCGCCUAUCCCAUUUGGGACGCGCCUAGGGUUCAUCCAGGGAGUGGGUGGAGCUUGGGGCUGGCCUGAACCCAGAAGGGGAGGGAGGCCGGAGACAGAGUCCGCAGUGGCCAGGGAAUGGAGCAGCCCCCUCAGGGACUUCCUCUCCUUCCAGAGGGGCUUCUGUGGGGCCAGCACCUGGGGAGGGAAGGGGAGGAGAGGUUACGGAUAGGCUCCGUGGCAUGAAGACCUAGCAUCGAAAAGGAGUGGGGUCCCGCUAGGGGCUUUAAUCAGGUCAGAGCCCCAGGAGGGCAGGGGAGAAGGCCACCAGACACUCCGCUGCGGGCCCUGGGCCCAUCCCCCCCUCCGAGGGAGCGGGGGAGUCGAGGCUGCCGGCACUCUGUGUCCCUCCCCACGCGUGACGGCGCCCCGCGCGCGGGGAGGGAACAGUGCCCGGGGCAAGGAGCCUCUGCGCUCUCGCCAGUGCCCGUGGCUGCCCUGGCAUUUGCAGCGGGGAGGGACCGAGUCUGGGAAGGGGAAGGGGGAGGUGCGCGCCCUCUCGGGCUCCGGCUCUUUGCCUUCCUCCGGCCUGUUCCCCACUAAAGUGGGGAAACUGAGACCCCCACCGUGGAAGGAAGGAACGCCUUGACGCAGUCUCACUCAGACGCCCAGGUGGCGAUAGAGGCCUGGCUGGCUUAGGAUGUCUGCUUGUGGGUAGUCGGGAAGGACCUGCGUUCGUCUUUCAGUGCCCAGCCAACCGAGAAAGGUAGCUUCGGAGGGACGCUUCCCACGGGGCCGGCGGUGCUACGUACCCCCAAAGGGCCCCUCCUACUGGUCUCAAACGGAAUCAAACCCCGCUCUCUCGGACCAGGUCCGGCUUCGCAGCGGCGGGCCAGGCCGAACCGGGUCGGACUUGUCCUCCCUUCCCAGCCCCCUGCGCAGGGGGCCUCCCGCCCUUUCCAGCAGGUGGCUCCGCAGGACACCAGCUCAACCUGUUGGACCACAAUGGGCGGCGCCAGGGGGCCCUGGCCCUCACCCGGGCUGACCCGGGAUCCCCGCGCAGGGGGAGGGGCGGAGUCGGUCCUUCCCUCCCUCCCUCUCUCUCCUUCUCCCUGUGACGUGACUCAGCCUCGAGGCCGCUGCUCUGCCCCUCAGCCAGGGGCGGAAAGUGUGAGGCGCCCCGGAGGGCUGAGGCCAAACCAAACAGCCCCCCAUCCCAGACAUUAUCUCACUGGAGAAUUAGGGGGGCAAUAGGGACCAGUGGAUAGCAGUCGGCAUGGGAAGCGCUGGCUCAAGUAAUCCGUUCCGGGUUUUCCUAUCGUUUCUGUCCUGUUCCCCCGCCCCCGCCCCCCAGCCAGCCCAGGGUCAAGUCUGAUCUUUGCUCCAGGUUUUCUUAGCAACCCCGCCGGACUGUUUCCAGUCGGGAGGAUUCCGAGCAAGAUGUGUCUGGGCUGGGUUUUUUCCCUUCCUCGCUGUCAGGGUCUCGCUGAGCAGGGAAUGGGCCAUGCCAGGGGCAAGGCGGCAGUGGAGAUGCCCAAGGAAAACGGAGAGCAAACUGUUUUCAGGAGAAGGGUACAAGACCAGGGAAAGGAUUUGGGGGAGGGUAGGACAGUGGUCCAGGACUCCAGAAGGACGAGAGUCUUGUCACUUAGCUCCCGAGGACCCAGACGCGGACAGCUCUGCUGUCCCCUGCCCCUGGAGUUGCAUCUGACUGGACACAACCCGGAUCUUUUGCGGCUGGAUUGCCAUCCUCCAGCAGUCCUGGAAAUCUACUGUUCGUUCCUCAGUGACUCUUUUCCAUGCUUUUCUUGUAGCACAAAUAGUUCCCUUUCAUGUUAGGGGGGCACCGACUGGAAAUCCCUGCUUACUCCCUAACUUUGGCCCCUAACUGCCAAACCAGAGACAGAGAUGUCCGGGGAGCGCUGGUGGGACCCCGCCCCCUUAUAGGGAGCCCGGCGCCCCCCAUGCCAGUCUGCUGUCCACCUGAACUGGUACUGGGAACUGGAAGGCAAGUGUGGGGUCCGCAGGGGGUUCCGGGUGAGCGCCCCGCCCCUCCCCCGUCCUCACUCUCAGACUUAAAUCUUCAGGCAACUUUCUAGAUUCUAGACUUUUAAUGUAGGAGGAAAGUAGGUGAGUAAACACCCCGAGAGGAAGGUGUUUGUCCUGAGAAGGAUAAUAGCCCAAGCAAGAAGGACUUUAUACCCAAGGCUGGGGACAGCGACUCUGAGUGGCGGCCUGGUUCCGAGACUGGCUGGUCCAAGUACACUGAGGAGUGGCUGCUGAGAGGGUACAAGGGUGUAGAGUCCCGGAGGAAGAGUGCAGUGGGCGGCUGGAGGCGAGGCUCUCCUUGGCAGGGUCCUAAAGUGAGUCUGGGGGCCCGUUUCUGGUUGGGGGGUGCUGAGCAGAAAGCGGCUCCUCCGCGGGCCCCAGGCGCCCACCUAGUCUCUGCUCCCCCGCCCCUUUCCCGCGGCUGCCUCCGCUUCCCUCGAAAAACCCGCCGCCCAGGAAACCGCUGGGGGCGCUCAGACCGCAGCCCCCCCUGCCGCCGCCCCCCAGAACCCCCACCGCGACCGCCCAACCCACCUGAAGAGGCGGUGGCUGCCGGGGGUACUCCCUCCUGCCGACUCCCCCCACACCUGCGGGUAGCACUAUUUAUAACUGCGUGCCUAUUCUGGGCCUCUCGGCUGGAGCCCGCAGCAGCGCUGUGCUAAUCGCCCCUGGGAUCUCUGCGCCCCCCAGGGCUGGGGGAGGUAAAUUUAGCUUCAGGAAGCUCCGGGGAACGUUUUCCAAAACUCCACGUCCCAGAGCAGGCAAAACAGAACCCCUCUGCGCGCGGCCUGCUUCCUACUCGCCACCAGGGGGCGCUAGGCUCCUAAAUCCCAGCCAGCUAGGGGUGUAGGGUAGCGGUCCCGAAAGCCAGGCCGGGUGGAUAAGGAGCUGAGGAUGGCUACAGAUGCUAAUGGAUGAACUUCAGCAGGACGGAAAAAGACUGUGGAGUCUGAGAGCCACCUAGAAAAGGGGCCAGAAGGUUUCUGAAUACGAAUGGAGAAAUAACUCAUAUGUAAACGAAAUGCAAAUGAGAGGGAGGGUGUUUGCCAGCCUCCUCUCUCCAGGUGUCUCUUGGUCGGCUGUGAAAAAUGUGGGACCGGCCCCCUCAGCCCUCAAACUCAUUUUAUGGUGAUCCCUUUCUUACCUCUGUGUGUCCCGCCCUCACCUCUGUGUCUCCCACUCUACCCAAGGUUGCAAAUGGGGUGUAAUCUGUAGAAGAGCUUUUCUCUUGCCGUGAUACUUGAAGGUCACUUCUAGCUUGUUGGUCUGUUCCAUUUCAACCCCAACUAUUUCCUUACCCCUUAUGGCUGCUAGAGGGCCCCAAGGUGCCCAGGGGUAAGCAGUAACUCCCCUUUCUGUCUUGGUAUCUUGCUUCUCUGCCCACCCUAUCCCUGGCAUGAGCUCCUGAAGCAAUAGUUUGAGUGUUGAAGACCUGAGCAGCUAUUUUUGAGAGCGCAUUGGAAGAAGUUGUUACAUUUCCUUUUCCCUUCUAGAAGAAUGUGGACGUUGUUGGUCAGGAAAACUAUUCUAGUCUGGAUGGGUUAAACAAAAGGUAUUUGGACGGGACCUUAAGUUGAUCCAAGGUGCAAAGGACACAGUGAGCCUAGAGCUUUGAUGGGAAACCGAGGGGGGGGGGUAGGGGGGUGGUGCAGCUUAAGAGAGAUGCCUCCACACUUGCAUGGCUUUGCCUCCUAGGGCAACUUAACCAUUUCUAUCAGAAGAGGAAGGCAGAUUAACGAGGAACUCUGGUUUUGACUGUCUUUUCUUCUUUUUUGUUUAGACGAGAGUAUUGCUAUAUUGCCCGUGCUGUUCUCCAGCUGCUAGGAUCAAACAGUGGGCUCCAGAGUCAGCCUCCAAAAUGGCUCGGGGAAAAUAGCACGUGCUACCAGCCUGGUCAGCCCUAAAGUUGAGAUCUGAAAAUUUCUGAGAUAGGGUUUCAUCACUCUCAAGCCUGCCUACUCUUUUGGUGUACCUUUGCUCCUGAGCACACAGACACACAAGUGUGGAUGUCAGAGGACAGCCUGCAGGAGAUUCUCUCCUUCCAUCAUGUACUGAACUGUAAACAUGAGCUGCCACACCCAGCUUGAAGUAGAUGUUUGUGAGAAGAGACAAAGCAUCAUCUACUCUAGAAAGUGUGUCCGGACUGUGACACGUCUCCACUGAAGCCUUUCCAGCUGCUGCUCUCCUUGGGCCUGUCAGUCUUCAGUCCUUUCCUUCUACCAGCUCCCCACUCCCUGUCCCACCAGAGCACACGGCCCUGGCCUCUGCUCCUGUGUCCACCACUUCCCUAGGAGUCUGCCAAGCAUCCUCUCCUCUGGCAAAAGCCUUUGUGUUCAGACCUCAGACUCUGGGGUCCACGUCUAGGCACUGCCCAGCUUAAAUCGCGUAGGACUUAGAGGCCAGGGCUGAAUUAGGUAGGGUAGGAGCUGGCCAGGCAGAAUGCAGUCUCUAGGGGAAGGAGAGCCCCUGGGUCAGCAGGAAGGUGGACUCUCGGCCCACAUGAGUCAGACCUUACUCCCUCUGCAGUGCUGGGGGUGGGGGGAGAGGGAGGGCUCAGAAGGAACCAGGCGGCAGUUCUGACCUGCAUGUUUCAGGUGUUUAGAGGGGUCCUGAGCAGAUAUGGUGGCUUAUCCUUCUAAUCCCAGGACUGGGGAGGCUGAGGCAGGAGGAUUGCCACAAGUUUGAGGGCAGCUAGGAUUACAGAGUGAGAACCUGACUCAAAAAUCAAAUCAAAAGCUCAAGCUCUAACUUAUCCUACAUGUCUUGGUUUAUAUUCACCUCCAGAUCAUUUUCCUGUUUCUCUAUCACCAAAUAAUGUCUGUAUACUUAACUACAGUUUGAUGGGGUUUCCUGCCUAGGAGAAUACAGGCUCCACAGAACUGAGGACCGAACACAGGCCUUGCGCUUGCUAGGCGAGCACUCUACCACUGAGCUAAAUCUCCAACCCCUACUUUUUCUUUAGACAGAUUUCCUAUGUAGCCACCGAUGACUUGGGAGUAUACAGUCAGCAUGGUGAUGUACUGGGUCUUGCUGUGUUCGCCCAGGCUGUCCUCUAAUUCAUUAUGGAGCAGCUGGCCUUAAACUUACAAUCCUGCUUCAACAUCCCGAGGGCUGGGGUCACAGCCUCCUUUCACAUUGUUCCCGCCCACCUCCAGGUCCAACCAAAUCUUCGUCUCUCAGGUUUUUCUCAUUUGUUCAAGGACCCUUUUUCUCUGACCCAAGAUCAAAGCUGCUAUCUCUGGGGUGGAAUCCCCCUCGGCCUCAUUAUCUCACCUACAAUCACCUGUUUACAGCUAACCCAUUUGCUGAACCAUUACUUCCUCAAGGUAGCGCAACCUGUUCUGAUAAGCUGUAACAACCCCAGCACCCGGCGCAGUGCUGGUGAAAGGUGGUAAUCAGUAGUUACAUGGAAGAAUGCAU